AUUGAACGCUGGCGGCAUGCUUUACACAUGCAAGUCGAACGGCAGCGCGGGCUUCGGCCUGGCGGCGAGUGGCGAACGGGGGAGUAAUGCAUCGGAACGUGCCCAGUAGUGGGGGAUAGCCCGGCGAAAGCCGGAUUAAUACCGCAUACGACCUGAGGGUGAAAGCGGGGGACCGAAAGGCCUCGCGCAAUUGGAGCGGCCGAUGUCGGAUUGGCUAGUUGGUGGGGGAACGGCUCACCAAGGCGACGAUCCGUAGCCGGCCUGAGAGGACGACCGGCCAACUGGGGCCUGAGACCCGGCCCGGGCUCCUACGGGAGGCCGCCGUAGGGCUUCUUCGGCAAUGGCCGGGAGUCUGACCGAGCCACGCCGCGUGCGUGAAGACGGUUUUCGGAUCGUAAAGCUCUGUUGUAAGAGAAGACCGAGUGUGGGAGUGGAAAGUUCACACUGUGACGGUAUCUUACCAGAAAGGGACGGCUACCUACGUG
rnacentral:rRNA from 1 species